GACGGGGGGUCCUAGCGUUGUUCGGAAUCAUUGGGCGUAAAGCGGGCGUAGGUGGCUAUGUAAGUCAGGAGUGAAAGCCCUGGGCUCAACCCAGGAAGUGCUUUUGAAACUGCGUAGCUUGAGUGUGGAAGAGGAUAGUGGAAUUCCUGGUGUAGUGGUGAAAUACGUAGAUAUCAGGAGGAACACCGGAGGCGAAGGCGGCUAUCUGGUCCAACACUGACACUGAGGCCCGAAAGCGUGGGGAUCAAACAGG
rnacentral:rRNA from 1 species